rnacentral:tRNA from 1 species
UGAAACAUAGCAUAUCUAAUGUACUCCGCUUACGCCGGAGAGAUGACUUAUUAGGAGUCUGUUUUAA